UCCUAUAAAAUAUUCGUACAAAAAUAUUUUUGUACAAAAAAUAUUUGCCUAUGGAAUACUUCACCCGCACAGAUUAAUAACCCGCACGUGAGAUCUUCCUUCGCGCCAACGGUGGUUGUCCUGACAACGAGUCUCGCGAGCAGCUGAUUACUUGUAACGGCGUCUUUUCCGUAGUGUCUACUGUAGGAUGGAUAUAAAAGUAUAAAAUACGUUUUGGUUUGACAACAUCGUUCAUAUGUGAACUAUCACAACUGAAGCACAAAGACAUAACAACAUUACACCCCGAGGCCAUUCACAAGUGUGACAAAAGAGAAGAAACGCUUCCCGGAAGAGAAGUUCAUCAGGCGAGGUGGAGACUAGUCGUCUCAUCCAGUUUAGCGGAGAGCGUCAACCCCUAAUUGACAUGAGGAAAAAAUCAUUGAAAAGUGUUCAAUGUACAGAGGAAGCAUUAGGAAAGAGGAGAAGAGAGAUAGAGAAAAGGCACUCAACAGAUGUUGGUUUUUUUUCUCCAUUCUGUCCCCUGAUGGAGUUUGGGUUCCUUGCCACUGUCAUCUUUUGGCGUGCUUAUUUGGGGACGCAUACUAUUCAGCAAUAUUAUUGAUCUGACUCCACUGACACUAUUGGAUGAGGACUGAACUGAGCUAGAUGAUGACACCACUGUUUUCUGCACAACUGCUAUGUAGAUGCAUUGGAAUUAUUUUAUAUUUGAGGAUUUUUAACACUGAUCAGUUAACACUGAUUUCAACUGAACAAUGAUACUUUUUACAGUUUAGAGCUGCUUCACAGCAGAAGUGAAUUCUGUUUGCAUCAUUAUUUUUCUUUUUAUCACUGUAAAGUAAUUAAAAAUAUAUCUGACAAUAUUUAGUACUGGAUAUACACAAAAAUAGAAUAAAUCAGGAUUUAUUUUUUCACAGCACUGUACACCAGCAUUUAUGUUUAGUGUGACAUUAAUGUGUGGAAAUUUACUUUUUUUUUUAGUGUGUGAUUGCUAUUUUGCAAUAUGUGAAGAUUUACAAUAUUAGUGCCAAUUCAGCAUGAAAACAGAGAGAGCUGAGGCAGUGGAAAGAAAUGCGUGUUAUUGUGCAAGGGGUAGUUGCAUGGACUAUCAGUGGAGGGACAGAAAGCUCUGAGAUUUCAUUAUAAAGAUCUUCAUUUGUGUUCUGAAGAUGAACGAAAGACCUGCGGGUUUGGAACGUCAUGAGGACUACUGUAAAUCCAAAAUAGUGCUUCCACAUCUGAGAUGAAGGCAGUCAUAAGAACCAAGCAGAACAAUGAGGAUAAGCUCUUCAAAAGAUGAAACCUGUCUGAAUAAUGAGGGAAGAAAUGUGCAUGAUUGCGUGAUUUGUAAAUAAACACCAAGUACAUUUAGUGCAACUCACAGCCUGUUAUUUUAAGUUUAAAGAAAAGUAAAAUCAUUUAUUGUUGCAUUGCCGUUUGAGA